UGCAGCGACGCCGCGUGGGGGAUGACGGCCUAUCGGGUUGUAAACCUCUUUCAGCACAGACGAAGCGCAAGUGACGGUAUGUGCAGAAGAAGCACCGGCCAACUACGUGCCAGCAGCCGCGGUAAUACGUAGGGUGCGAGCGUUGUCCGGAAUUACUGGGCGUAAAGAGCUUGUAGGUGGUUUGUCGCGUUGUUCGUGAAAUCUCACGGCUCAACUGUGAGCGUGCGGGCGAUACGGGCAGACUAGAGUACUGCAGGGGAGACUGGAAUUCCUGGUGUAGCGGUGGAAUGCGCAGAUAUCAGGAGGAACACCGGUGGCGAAGGCGGGUCUCUGGGCAGUAACUGACGCUGAGAAGCGAAAGCGUGGGGAGCGAACAGGAUUAGAUACCCUGGUAGUCCACGCCGUAAACGGUGGGUACUAGGUGUGGGUUUCCUUCCUUGGGAUCCGUGCCGUAGCUAACGCAUUAAGUACCCCGCCUGGGGAGUACGGCCGCAAGGCUAAAACUCAAAGAAAUUGACGGGGGCCCGCACAAGCGGCGGAGCAUGUGGAUUAAUUCGAUGCAACGCGAAGAACCUUACCUGGGCUUGACAUGCACUAGAAAGCCGUAGAGAUACGGCCCCCCUUGUG
rnacentral:rRNA from 1 species